CACGGCUGGGAGGCGCACUCGUCCAUGUCCUCUCUGCAGGUGACACCUGACCACAGACACGAUGACCAGUGUAUCUCGGUGGGCAGAUACAUGUGAAGGAGUUGGGGCCGUCAAAACAUCGUCCCAGCCUGCAGGGGUUGGGCUUACAGUCGUCAAUGUCCACCUCGCACCUUUGACCUUUGAAUCCGCCGGGGCAAGCGCACACGUACUGGCCACUGCCGGCGGGCAGGUUGACGUUUGUCACGCAAGAGGCGCCAUUCGCACACUCGCAGGGCCGCACUGACACCUGUGAUAAAAGUUCAGGAUAAUUUCCUAUGACGAAUACCCAGCCUUUAAAGGUCAGUACAGUAUUUUCAUGCUGCUGUUUGAAGCAGAUGUCUUGUGUGUUCUUGGCACCCUCUACUGGACAGAAACAGUAAAGACGUACCUGCACAGAGGCCAAUGUCUCAGCAUUGCAGUCGUCCAUCACAGUAAAGUUGAACGUGUGCGUGUCACCCGGCUGAGCCCUGACCUUCCAGAUGAUCAGGCCAGCAGGAGACAACGUCGCGUCCUCUGGAGUCGAUUUCAAAGUGAAUACCACCGCCGAGCCCUCGGGGUCCCGAGCCUGCAGCUGGUAGAUGAAGACCUCCCCCUGGAAGGACCACAGGCGAGGAGGCAACGACUCCAGCACGGGGGGCUCAUUUUCUGCUGCAGAGGACCUCAGGGUGCAGGACGCAGACCUGACAGUUUCCGUCAUACAGAGUCAGUAUUUUAGCGUUGCUGUAGCUGUAGCCGUCGUUGGACACCUGUCAGGUAGAGACACAAUGUUGCCUCUAAGUACACAGUAAAGUCCUUGGAUAACACAAUAAUUGAAAGUACAGCAGCAUGUGUGGACCAUGAACUCAGCAGGACUCAUGUAUUGGAGUUUGUACUAACUUUGAUCUGCCAGCGGGCCAAUGGUCCGUUUGUUGAUAUCAUCACGUCCACACCUGCAGGAGCUCGGUUGACCUCCGGGGGGAGCUGGCACGCCAUCGCCGUCACGUCCACAAAGGUGGCGGGGACUAACUGAGGCUC